rnacentral:rRNA from 1 species
AUAUUCCCCGGCCAGUGGAUGGUGACGGAUGCCGUAUAUCGUUCAACCUUAUCGGAUUGGUUGGGCGGUGAAGGGGUCCCAGGAAAGAGCCUCCACGUGAGACCGUACCCGAAACCGACACAGGUGGACAGGUAGAGUAUACCAAGGCGCUUGAGAGAACGAUGCUGAAGGAACUCGGCAAUUUGCCUCCGUAACUUCGGGAUAAGGAGGCCCUGUCGGUGGGCAACCAUCGGCAGGGGGCACAGACCAGGGG